CUGCUCAUUCAAGGACAAGCCA
rnacentral:siRNA from 1 species